UGGGGAAUAUUGCACAAUGGAGGGAACUCUGAAGCAGCGACGCCGCGUGAACGAAGAAGGCUUUCGAGUCGUAAAGUUCUUUUAUAUGGGAAGAUAAUGACGGUACCAUAAGAAGAAGCCCCGGCUAACUACGUGCCAGCAGCCGCGGUAAUACGUAGGGGGCUAGCGUUGUCCGGAAUCACUGGGCGUAAAGGGUUCGCAGGCGGAAAUGCAAGUCAGGUGUAAAAGGCAGUAGCUUAACUACUGUAAGCAUUUGAAACUGCAUAUCUUGAGAAGAGUAGAGGUAAGUGGAAUUUUUAGUGUAGCGGUGAAAUGCGUAGAUAUUAAAAAGAAUACCGGUGGCGAAGGCGACUUACUGGGCUCAUUCUGACGCUGAGGAACGAAAGCGUGGGUAGCAAACAGG
rnacentral:rRNA from 1 species